AAAAAGAAGAUGUGGUAUGAUUGCCAAUGAGACAACUAUCCACAAAAGACCAAAAUGACACAGACAUUAACAACUAUAGGUCACUGUACGGCCUUCAACAAUGAUCAAAACCCUUACCGCAUAGUCAGCUAUAAAAGGCCCAGAUAAGACAAUGUAAAACAAUUCAAAUGAGAAAACUUACGGCCUUAUAAGUAAAUCAAAGCGCUGUAAGCGCUGAAGGCAGUUAACCAAAAACCAAGGCAACCCGUUUCCCUGGAAAGAAAACUGAGUUUAUUUUCUAUAGUACAAAAGUUAUGAGACACGAAUCAGACAAAUGUUCACCACAACAGGGAUCAAAGGUGAGGUCUGACUGACCUGCCCAUAGUAAAUGUAAAUGAUUUGUUGUUUUGUCCCAUACAUAUGAAUUUAAGGGUGGGGAUCUCAACGGUUUUCAAGUUUUCAAACAGGUAGGGGUAGGCAGAGGAUUUAGGGGGCAGGGGGCCCCCUUUUUGGGAAAAAAAUUGGUUGCUUAUAUAGGGAAUCACUGAAGCGUGACUGGAGCAGGCCCCUUUUCAGUCAGUCAGUGGGCCCCACUUAUGAAAAUUUCUGGAUCCGCCACUGGGGGUAGGGUGACCCUAGGGACUUCCCCUUCAUUUCAUUUUAUUUGUUAUAUUGUCCCAUACAUGAUUAUAUAUGGUUAAGGGGUGGGGAUCUCAUUGGUUUCCAAGUUCUCAAACAGGAGGGGUAGGGUGACCCAAGGGACUCCCCCUAUAUUUCAUUUAAUUAGUUAUAUUGGCCCAUACAUGAAUAUAUAUUGUUUUGGUGUGGGGAUCACGACCAUUUCCAAGUUCUCAAACAGGAGGGUUGGGGUGACCACAGGGACUUCCCCUAUAUUUCAUUUGAUUUGUUAUAUUGUCCCGUACAUGAGUUAUAUGGUUUAGGGGUAAGGAUCUUAACCGUUUCCAAGUUCUCAAACAGGAGGGUGAACAGUGAACUCAGGGACUCCCCCUAUCUUUCAUUUGAAUUGUUAUAUUGUCCCGUACAUGAAUAUAUAUGGUUAAAGGGUGGCAAUCUCAAACGGGUUUCAAAUUCUCAAACAGGAGGGGGUGGGUUGACCCAAGGGACUCCCCCUAUAUUUCAUCUGAUUUGUUAUAAUAUUAUUGUCCCAUACAUGAAUAUAUAUGGUUUAAUGGUGGGGAUCUCGACCAUUUUUAAAUUCUAAAACAGGAGGGGUGGGGUGACCC
rnacentral:lncRNA from 1 species